GACGAACGCUGGCGGCGUGCUUAACACAUGCAAGUCGAACGGUAAGGCCCCUUCGGGGGUACACGAGUGGCGAACGGGUGAGUAACACGUGAGGAACCUGCCCUUGACUCUGGGAUAACAGUGGGAAACUUCUGCUAAUACCGGAUAUUCAGAUUCUGCCGCAUGGUGGGGUUUGGAAAGCUUUUGUGGUCUAGGAUGGUCUCGCGGCGUAUCAGCUUGUUGGUGAGGUAAUGGCUUACCAAGGCUUCUACGGGUAGCCGGCCUGAGAGGGCGGCAGGCCACAUUGGGACAGAGAUACGGCGCAGACUCCGACGGGAGGCAGGAGUGGGGAAUAUGGCACAAUGGGCGAAAGCAUGAUGCAGCAACGCCGCGUGCGGGAUGACGGCCUUCGGGUUGUAAACCGCUUUCAGUAGGGACGAAGCGUAAGUGACGGUACCUACAGAAGAAGCACCGGCUAACUACGUGCCAGCCGCCGCAGUAAUAC
rnacentral:rRNA from 1 species